UGCAGAGGUGGCAAGCGUUGUUCGGAUUACUGGGCGUAAAGGGCGCGUAGGCGGUCUUCUAAGUCUUGUGUGAAAUCCCUCGGCUCAACUGAGGAACUGCACGGGAUACUGGAAGACUUGAGUUCGGGAGAGGGAAGCGGAAUUCCGGGUGUAGCGGUGAAAUGCGUAGAGAUAUGGAGGAACACCAGUGGCGAAGGCGACUUUCUGGUCUGUAACUGACACUGAGGCGCGAAAGCGUGGGGAGCAAACAGG
rnacentral:rRNA from 1 species